rnacentral:tRNA from 1 species
GCCUGGAUGGCUCAGUUGGUUGAGCAUCUGACUUUGGCUCAGGUUAUGAUGUCACCAUUUGUGGGUUCAAGCCCUAUGUUGGGCU